UGGCUCUCCAGAUGUUUUGGACUACAUCUCCCUUGAUGGCCCUAAGAGCAUUAUAGGAGAUGUAGUCCAAAACAUCUGGAGGGCCG